CAGUCGCCGCGGUAAUACGUAGGGUGCGAGCGUUAAUCGGAUUGAUUGGGUGUAAAGGGUGUGCAGACGGCUUAUUAAGUCACUUGUUAAAUUCUUCGGCCUAACUGAAGGUCUGCAAGUGAUACUGAUGAGCUAGAGGGUGGGAGAGGGUGGUGGAAUUCCCGGAGUAGCAGUGAAAUGCGCAGAUACCGGGAGGAACGCCGAUGGCGAAGGCAGCCACCUGGUCCACUUCUGACGCUGAGGCGCGAAAGCGUGGGGAGCAAACCGGAUUAGAUACCCCAGUAGUCCCUGUCUCUUAUAC
rnacentral:rRNA from 1 species